AAGAGCUGCGGGAGCGGCGCGGGGAAGGGGGCGGUGUCGGCAGAGCAGGUAAUUGCUGGCUUCAACCGCCUUCGGCAGGAACAGCGAGGCCUGGCAUCCAAAGCAGCUGAGCUAGAAAUGGAAUUGAAUGAGCACAGAUCCAGAAGAUUAUUGAGACACUAACACAGCAGCUUCAGGCAAAGGGAAAAGAACUAAAUGAAUUCCGGGAAAAGCACAACAUUCGUCUCAUGGGGGAAGAUGAGAAGCCAGCAACCAAGGAAAACUCAGAAG